rnacentral:rRNA from 1 species
GACAGAGGGUGCAAACGUUGUCCGGAUUUACUGGGCGUAAAGCGCCUGUAGGCGGCCUGUCAAGUCCGGCCUGAAAGCCCCCCGCUCAACGGGGGAGGGUGGCUGGAAACUGGCAGGCUUGAGGGCGAGAGAGGAGGGUGGAAUUCCUGGUGUAGCGGUGGAAUGCGUAGAGAUCCGGAAGAACACCGGUGGCGAAGGCGGCCCGCUGGGACAUAGCUGACGCUGAGGCGCGACAGCGUGGGGGAGCAAACAGG